AUGUGUGUCAGCCCUGAGAUAAAGCACCACUCUGGCACACUUCGCGUCAUGGAGAGCGACAUCUCCAGCCUGCCAGGACCAGUCAGCACCAGCACUGUCACAAACACACACACUCACACAUGCGCUCUGGGUUUCUCGCUCUUUCACUCACACACACUUCUACAGGCGUCCUGCAGAUACCGACACUGUGCUGGAACAGCAGGAAUCCAGCACAUCACAUUACCAUCAAAACCUGCACUGCCGAGACAGGAAGAAAACAGGAAGUGGCAAGAACACUUUCCAGCCACUGAGGGUUUACAAGGACAGCGGCUGGCAUGCAGAAGGACAUGAGAGGACGAGUGCUGUUGAUUGAAGACAUCGAUGAUACCCUGCAAAUGAUCUCACUACAUAAAACUUUUACAAGUACAGGGGCAUUUGGGACCCAUCACACACACACACAUGCAUAUAGAAAGUGAGAUGGCAAGCACGGAGCGGUAGAAAGCAAACUGAAGCGAGAGAACGUGAGAGGAAGAGAUGGAGAGACUGAUAGGCGCUGAUCUUCAUGAUAAGCACUCCUGACAACUUGUGAGCGGUUUGCUGGUAGGACACUAAUUGCCAGUGAAAGGUGACCGGGAGAGAGGCAAAGCAGCUCAGCUCAGAUAGACCUCUCGCCUCGGUCCGACAUGAUACCCUACGACAGCACACAUCCUCGUAUCAAAAACCCAACACACACACUUGACACCAACCCAUCACUCUCCGCAAAAACGGCACACUGAUACUCCCCUGGCACCCAGCGAAAAAAGAGAGGGAGGGCGAGAGGCGAGGAUAGGAGAAUGAGAGAGAUGAAUCGUAUUGACAGGUAGCCCACGGUGGUGAGGUUGAAGCUGAAACUGCCUGGGAAGAAUAAGGAAGGUGAGACCCAUGAACUGAGUGCCAUUUAACUGGCCAAGACUCAACCUUAUCCACUCAUCUUCAGAAUUACGUACAGAACCCAGAGGCACACGCUGCAUUCACAUGAGUGAAAGAACUAUGGGUUAUAAUGUGAAGAUUCAAAGACUCAGUGGUAAUUAGUGGUGCUUGCUGAGGACCAUGAGAAUAAAGCAUUGUAAGAUUAAAGUAAAAUUUGUAAG
ensembl:lncRNA